AGAGUUUGAUCCUGGCUCAGGACGAACGCUGGCGGCGUGCCUAAUACAUGCAAGUAGAACGCUGAAGAGAGGAGCUUGCUCUUCUUGGAUGAGUUGCGAACGGGUGAGUAACGCGUAGGUAACCUGCCUUGUAGCGGGGGAUAACUAUUGGAAACGAUAGCUAAUACCGCAUAACAAUGGAUGACACAUGUCAUUUAUUUGAAAGGGGCAAUUGCUCCACUACAAGAUGGACCUGCGUUGUAUUAGCUAGUAGGUGAGGUAAUGGCUCACCUAGGCGACGAUACAUAGCCGACCUGAGAGGGUGAUCGGCCACACUGGGACUGAGACACGGCCCAGACUCCUACGGGAGGCAGCAGUAGGGAAUCUUCGGCAAUGGGGGCAACCCUGACCGAGCAACGCCGCGUGAGUGAAGAAGGUUUUCGGAUCGUAAAGCUCUGUUGUAAGUCAAGAACGGGUGUGAGAGUGGAAAGUUCACACUGUGACGGUAGCUUACCAGAAAGGGACGGCUAACUACGUGCCAGCAGCCGCGGUAAUACGUAGGUCCCGAGCGUUGUCCGGAUUUAUUGGGCGUAAAGCGAGCGCAGGCGGUUUGAUAAGUCUGAAGUUAAAGGCUGUGGCUCAACCAUAGUUCGCUUUGGAAACUGUCAAACUUGAGUGCAGAAGGGGAGAGUGGAAUUCCAUGUGUAGCGGUGAAAUGCGUAGAUAUAUGGAGGAACACCGGUGGCGAAAGCGGCUCUCUGGUCUGUAACUGACGCUGAGGCUCGAAAGCGUGGGGAGCGAACAGGAUUAGAUACCCUGGUAGUCCACGCCGUAAACGAUGAGUGCUAGGUGUUGGAUCCUUUCCGGGAUUCAGUGCCGCAGCUAACGCAUUAAGCACUCCGCCUGGGGAGUACGACCGCAAGGUUGAAACUCAAAGGAAUUGACGGGGGCCCGCACAAGCAGUGGAGUAUGUGGUUUAAUUCGACGCAACGCGAAGAACCUUACCAAGUCUUGACAUCCUGCGACGGUGCUGGAAACAGUACUUUCCUUCGGGACGCAGAGACAGGUGGUGCAUGGUUGUCGUCAGCUCGUGUCGUGAGAUGUUGGGUUAAGUCCCGCAACGAGCGCAACCCCUAUUGUUAGUUGCCAUCAUUCAGUUGGGCACUCUAGCGAGACUGCCGGUAAUAAACCGGAGGAAGGUGGGGAUGACGUCAAAUCAUCAUGCCCCUUAUGACCUGGGCUACACACGUGCUACAAUGGACAGAGCAGAGGGAAGCGAAGCCGCGAGGUGGAGCGAAACCCAUAAAACUGUUCUCAGUUCGGACUGCAGUCUGCAACUCGACUGCACGAAGAUGGAAUCGCUAGUAAUCGCGAAUCAGCAUGUCGCGGUGAAUACGUUCUCGGGCCUUGUACACACCGCCCGUCACACCAUGAGAGUCGGUAACACCCGAAGCCGGUGGCCUAACCGCAAGGAAGGAGCUGUCUAAGGUGGGACUGAUGAUUGGGGUGAAGUCGUAACAAGGUAUCCCUACGGGAACGUGGGGAUG
rnacentral:rRNA from 1 species